AACUGCACGGGAAAACACACUUAGCUCUUCAUUCCCUCAUUUUUCUUCUCAUUUCCAUAUCUGAUUGCGAAGGCUAGGGAUUGUUCUGCUUUCCUGUGAAAUUGAACCACAAGGUGCGUCAAUAGUGAGAGAAUCGGAGAGGACGGUGACGGCGAAUCAGAGGCGGCGGCGCCGAUCGCUGAACCCCGGCGUUGCAAUCCAAAGGAAGCGGAGCUUGGUCACGGUUCCGGUGGUUGUCCAUAUGACGGUGCGGUGAGAGGCUGAGGUAGUUCAUCUGCUUGGGGCACUUGCGAAUGGCGUUCUUUGCAGUUUGCAUAGAUGCGACCGUCGUCAAUGUUGCGUUGCUCGAUGGCUUUCUUCACCUUCAGCAUUUGGCAGGGCAACAACAUGCAGAUGAUACAGUACACUUUUUCUCCCACAAUUUAGGUGAAACAAGCAGCUUUAGAUGAUGUUGACCACUUGUUUCAAGGAAAGUCUGAAUACUAGAAAAUCAUGGUCUUCUAAGCACAUGGUGUUCCAGUAAAUUUUGAAGUUGCAAUUACAUUAUUAGUAGUAGUCUUACUCUGAGCUUUUGUAGUACUUGAUUUGUGUGUGGACCACGAAAUUGUCACUUCAGAGCAUAGAUUAUAAACAUAUGAUCUUGUGGUGUGAAGAUGUUUAGUUUACUCCUUAUAUGUUAUGUAGGUGGACUCUUGAAUCGCUUGAACUUAAUUUUUUAGAAUAUUCAUGGUGGAAGAAUUGUACUUCACCCCAUCAAGAAUGUCCCGUCCAAAUUUGAGCAUGUGGAAAAAGGGGAUUCAUUUUGAAUUUUUGAUCAAUGAUAAUUUGUUUCUUGCAGGUGUUUGGCACUUUGAUCAAAGACUGCUUCAUGAGGAAGAUGCUGGUUGAUCUUGAAUAUCCUUCUUUUUAGUCUUUCUUUACAUUUGGUUAGUAAAGUUCUGUGUUAGAUUUUAAAGGCUAUAAGCUUAAAAAAAAGGGAGGUCUGGUUUUACUUAUAUAUGCAAGCCUCUUGUGCAGCAGACUUACAAUAGUAAGUGAACCUGUCUUUCUGAUCUUGAGAGAAGAAACACGUGUGAAUCCAUAAGAAGAGAAAAAAUUUAUUGUUCAGAUUCAUUAGCAGAUUAUUGGAGUUCUAGAUACACGCUUGUAUAAACAGGAAAGCAAGCUACUUAAAAUCUUCGGCUUUAUGUGGAACCCUCUAAUGGGUCAUGGAAGUUGCUGCUAUCAUCGGAAUUGCAUAGGCAAAUGGAGGGGGUAAGAUUUUGCACAUUAUACAGCGCUAUGCUUCGGGGAAUUUAGUGACAAGAUUAAGCUCUGGAUCACAGGUCAUGCCUGGGUGGCUGAUGUGCUAAUCUUGAACUGGGUAUAUACUAAGCUGUUGUAGCUUGCUGAUUAUGAGGGGGAACAGAACAGGUAUCAUAAUAGUUUGAAAAAAGUAAGAGCAGAACUCAUAAAGGUACCAUCCUCAAACCUCAACUCUAGAUGGCUCCUCUCAUUUUCUUUUAUAGUCAUCACUGUAAUUGGACUCUUUGGGUGGGUAGAUUUUCAUAUAGUUGUUGUGUAAGCCUGAUGCAGCAGCGGGUGAAGCUGACUCUUGGCUAUCUUGAGCUUCAACAGUGGCUUGCCUCAUCAAGGUUAUGUUAAAAAUUUGUACACUCCCGAGUUAUUCCUUAGAUUUUCUGAAAGUCCCCAUAAUACAUGUAAGAUUUCUUGUGGUUUUAAUUUAACUCUGAAAUGUCCUUUAACCUUUGACAGUUAAUGUGAAUGAGGUUGAAGCUUUAUUUGGCUUGUCUAAGAUACUAAACAGUCCAAUAAUUGAUGAUGGCAUAAUUCACAAGGUCUCUCCAUUUAAGUUAGUUGUAGCACUACAAUUUCCAUAUUUGGUUUAUCAUUAUGUCUUGCUUGUGUGCUCAAUGUAGGUCUAUUUUCUCCUAUCAUCAGUUAAAGUUAAUAUCUCUAUAUUCAUUUGUAUUAUGUGUCUGAUUAGUCUGUGAGCUAGAUCCUUUGUAAAUUCUCAUUUAUCACUAGGUAUAUAGGUGCAUUUAAAUUUAUGUUCUUAAUGGGGGCUGUCAUAGUGAUGACUUGAAUAUUCCUUGUCAUAAUAUCAAUUUAUUGUAGUAUUAAUUCUUCAUUUUAUUCUUUCUCAACAAAGUCAUUGUUACUGGUAUUUCAAGGGAUUUAUCAUUUUGGCAGAUAUGAAACUAAAUUCUGGCGGUUUAAAACCGCCAAGAGUAGCUUUAUAAUGGUAAUGCACAAUAUGACAUUUAGCGGCAAUACUAACUGCCGGAAAUUAUGGCCGCUAACAUAAGACGGCUUUUACCGGCUGUUCUUGACGUCUUUACCGGCGCCCUGUAAAAGCGCCGGCAAAGCCUUUACCGACUCCCGAUACACCGGUGGAAGGGUGGUUGUCGGUAAAAGUGUUUGCGGCCAUUUUUAUUGCCGUUAAAAGCAGUAUUUAUUGCCACUAAAAAUGUUUUUUUGUUGUAGUGUAUAUUAGUGCUCACACUAAAAUUCGGGUUAGCACUCAUAAGUCACCUUAUACUAAAGAAAACAUGUCUUAGGUCCCGUUUGGGAUGAAUUUUAGUUUUAUAGUUUGAAAAUUUUAAAACUCAAAACUAGUUUUCAAUUUCAUAAAUUCAGUUUUAAUUUUUUAUGAUUUUUAGUUUUAAAAAUUUAUUGAUAACUUUGUAAAUGCACAAUAGUCAGUACCACUGUUAUAAAACUACUUCUAUAAACAUUACCCGGUGGCAAUGGUGAACGUUAUCUAGUCGUGCUGGUAGUGGUGUAGGAGGAAUUGAAGGUGGGUGUUGUUCGGUAUCAAUGACAGUAGUGAUCGUGGCAGGCCAGUGGUGGAAGGCACUAAAAAGAUUUCGUGGACCUAAGAAGGCCCAAGAAAAUGCAAUAAAUCGGGCUGGAAGAAGAAAAGAAACUCGGACCACUUGUGAGGGAACUUUCUGGCCAUAUGUGUCAAAAAAAAUUGACAAAAAAAAGUGCCAAUUUUAUCUGAUUAAGUUAUAUUGUGGUUAAUUGGUUAAUUACUUUUAGUGUAGGGUAAAAAGCAUAAAUUAUGAAAAUCCACUUUUACAUAAUGUAACUUAGUUUUGUGAUGUUUCUGUUGUG